rnacentral:lncRNA from 1 species
GGAAAAAUUGUAUCUUCUCUUCUUCCUCCCAUCCCUUCCCCAACCUACCCAGCCCCACCAUUAAAGCAAUGCCCAUCAAUACCAAACGAGUUUCUGUGUCCAAUAUCUGGUGCUUUAAUGGUGGAUCCUGUUAUAGUAUCCUCCGGACACACUUUUGAACGGAAUUGCGUUCAUGCUUGCGUUUCACUCUCCUUUAAACCCAAAUUUGCAGAUGGUUCCAACUCCGAUUUCUGCACCAUCAUAACCAAUCUCGCCCUUAAGUCCACCAUCUUCAAUUGGUGCUGGACCCAUCUCAUCGACACACCUAAACCCAUUGAUUUCUACUCAGCCGAAAAACCCGUCGUUACACCACAAUAGUGCAGAGGCUGGUACUAAGUUGACUCGGACACCAAGUCAGCUGUCAGUAAUUAGUUCGGAAGAAUUGGUGACGCCCAGAAACGGGUUCCCCACUCCCUUGCCGUUGAAGACUUGACCCACUUGUUAUUCAUCAUCCUCUUCCUCAGAUAUGGAAAUCUGAAAUUCUCACUCACAGGAAGAUGAAGAAUUCAUUAUGAAACAGAGAAGUUGUGAGGUUUCUGAACAAAAAGAGGCUUUAAUUUCACUUCGAAAACUGACUCACACCAAGGAGUAAACCCGACUCUAUCUUUGUACUCAGUCCUCAGAUCAUUCAUCACCUCGAGAUAUUCAACGUUGCAAGUGAAUGCAGUGGCAGUGUUGGUGAAUCUGUCUCUGGAGAAACAAAACAAUGUGAAGAUCGUACGGUUUGGGAUUGUUCCACCGGUGAUUGAU